GUGAUAUCUGUACUAACGAAUUUUAAGAAAAUAAAAGGAUUCGAAAUUUUUGGCCGUUAAAAAGCCUCCAAAACCGAUCCAAUGGCGACUAAGGAUUUGUUGGUGAUACCAGUACUAACGAAUUUUGAGAAAAUAAAGGGAUUCGAAAUUUUGGGGCCGUUAAAAAGCCUCCAAAACCGACAUAAUGGCGGCC